UGUAGGCUGGUUUUCCAGGCAAAUCCGGAAAAUCAAGGCUGAGGCGUGAUGACGAGGCACUACGGUGCUGAAGCAACAAAUGCCCUGCUUCCAGGAAAAGCCUCUAAGCAUCAGGUAACAUCAAAUCGUACCCCAAACCGACACAGGUGGUCAGGUAGAGAAUACCAAGGCGCUUGAGAGAACUCGGGUGAAGGAACUAGGCAAAAUGGUGCCGUAACUUCGGGAGAAGGCACGCUGAUAUGUAGGUGAAGUCCCUCGCGGAUGGAGCUGAAAUCAGUCGAAGAUACCAGCUGGCUGCAACUGUUUAUUAAAAACACAGCACUGUGCAAACACGAAAGUGGACGUAUACGGUGUGACGCCUGCCCGGUGCCGGAAGGUUAAUUGAUGGGGUCAGCGCAAGCGAAGCUCUUGAUCGAAGCCCCGGUAAACGGCGGCCGUAACUAUAACGGUCCUAAGGUAGCGAAAUUCCUUGUCGGGUAAGUUCCGACCUGCACGAAUGGCGUAAUGAUGGCCAGGCUGUCUCCACCCGAGACUCAGUGAAAUUGAACUCGCUGUGAAGAUGCAGUGUACCCGCGGCAAGACGGAAAGACCCCGUGAACCUUUACUAUAGCUUGACACUGAACAUUGAGCCUUGAUGUGUAGGAUAGGUGGGAGGCUUUGAAGUGUGGACGCCAGUCUGCAUGGAGCCGACCUUGAAAUACCACCCUUUAAUGUUUGAUGUUCUAACGUGGACCCGUGAUCCGGGUUGCGGACAGUGUCUGGUGGGUAGUUUGACUGGGGCGGUCUCCUCCUAAAGAGUAACGGAGGAGCACGAAGGUUGGCUAAUCCUGGUCGGACAUCAGGAGGUUAGUGCAAUGGCAUAAGCCAGCUUGACUGCGAGCGUGACGGCGCGAGCAGGUGCGAAAGCAGGUCAUAGUGAUCCGGUGGUUCUGAAUGGAAGGGCCAUCGCUCAACGGAUAAAAGGUACUCCGGGGAUAACAGGCUGAUACCGCCCAAGAGUUCAUAUCGACGGCGGUGUUUGGCACCUCGAUGUCGGCUCAUCACAUCCUGGGGCUGAAGUAGGUCCCAAGGGUAUGGCUGUUCGCCAUUUAAAGUGGUACGCGAGCUGGGUUUAGAACGUCGUGAGACAGUUCGGUCCCUAUCUGCCGUGGGCGCUGGAGAACUGAGGGGGGCUGCUCCUAGUACGAGAGGACCGGAGUGGACGCAUCACUGGUGUUCGGGUUGUCAUGCCAAUGGCACUGCCCGGUAGCUAAAUGCGGAAGAGAUAAGUGCUGAAAGCAUCUAAGCACGAAACUUGCCCCGAGAUGAGUUCUCCCUGACCCUUUAAGGGUCCUGAAGGAACGUUGAAGACGACGACGUUGAUAGGCCGGGUGUGUAAGCGCAGCGAUGCGUUGAGCUAACCGGUACUAAUGAACCGUGAGGCUUAACCUU
rnacentral:rRNA from 2 species